GACGAACGCUGGCGGCGUGCUUAACCCAUGCAAGUCGCACGGAAAGGGCCUGCAUUCGUGGGGUGCUUGAGUGGCGAACGGGUGCGUACCACGCCAGUAACCUGCUCUUGUCUUUGGGUUACCUUCAGGUAACUGGGGCCUAUACCGGCUAGGCGCUCCCGCUGCACGGCGGGGGUUGGACAGCUUCGGCGGUUGGGGAUGGACUCGCGGCUUAUCAGCUUGUUGGUGGGGUAGUGUCUUACCAAGGCUUUGCCGGGUAGCCGGCCGGAGAGGGUGACCGGCCAGAGUGUGACUAAGGUACGGCCCGGACUCCUACGAGGGGCAGCAGUGAGGGAUGGUGCACAGGGGGCUGAAGCCGGAUGCAGCGACGCCGCGGGCGGGAUGGCGGCCUGCUGUUUGUAAACCGCUUUCGCCUGUGACGAACCUUAAUUUACGUUAAUGGGUAAAGAAGCACCGGCUAACUACGUG
rnacentral:rRNA from 1 species